UGGGGAAUAUUGCACAAUGGGCGCAAGCCUGAUGCAGCCAUGCCGCGUGUAUGAAGAAGGCCUUCGGGUUGUAAAGUACUUUCAGCGGGGAGGAAGGCGUUGUGGUUAAUAACCACAGCAAUUGACGUUACCCGCAGAAGAAGCACCGGCUAACUCCGUGCCAGCAGCCGCGGUAAUACGGAGGGUGCAAGCGUUCAUCGGAAUUACUGGGCGUAAAGCGCACGCAGGCGGUCUGUCAAGUCGGAUGUGAAAUCCCCGGGCUCAACCUGGGAACUGCAUCCGAAACUGGCAGGCUUGAGUCUUGUAGAGGGGGGUAGAAUUCCAGGUGUAGCGGUGAAAUGCGUAGAGAUCUGGAGGAAUACCGGUGGCGAAGGCGGCCCCCUGGACAAAGACUGACGCUCAGGUGCGAAAGCGUGGGGAGCAAACA
rnacentral:rRNA from 1 species